rnacentral:sRNA from 1 species
GCAUAGCUACAACCACUCAGAACAGGUUGAAGCACGAGUCAGACUAGAGCUGGCCCGCCUGGGAUGGUGAGUCUAAGUAUAAGG